UCUAAUUGCCUUACUGCUCUCCAGCCUUUCUUGUGACUCUGCUGCUGUGCCUGUAACUUAACUUUUGGCUUUCCCACUGACCUUUCUCCUUUAACUUCAUAUGGCAGAUUCCUGAGCCCUUGAAGGUCCUGGGGAGGCAGAGAGUCAACAUGGAAGAACCUGGUGUCCUUCCCUACUGAAGAACUUCAAGAUGAAUGAGAGAACAUUUUUGCAUAUGAUUCUUUUCUUUGCUCAAAAUGUGCCACCAGAGCAGCAAAUCCAUGAGGUUCAGCUGGUGGCCUUUCUGAUGGCUUUGAUCCCUUCAUCCCUGGAGGUGGCCUUGGAAAACCUCCCAUGCAGGGCAGUGAAGGCAGCUUUGAGCCUGUCACUUUCCUGGUGUCUGAUGUCAAUGUCCUUCUCAUUCAACUUUCUGCUGGACUGGGACAAUGCCUCUCCAUCCCCGAAUGGCUUCUGUGUGACCAGGAUAGGACAGCUGAUCUCCAGUUGCCUGUGGCACAGCACAAGCUUGGGGCUGCUUCUGUAUUUUACCAGAACUGGUUACCUUUGGUUUAUUUUGCUCUUUUUUUUUUUUUCCCCUACAAUCCUCCUAAAACAUGGGUAUUUGAAUUAAAGUUCAAAUUAAAGAGUUAUUGCAGUUAAUUAUGAAGUUUGGCAGGCAUUGAGCUUUUGGCUCCAAAUCAUUUCUACUAUGGGGAGCUGUGAAAGAAUCAAUCUGCUGCAAUUUCUCUGUGGUGCUCAAUAAAAAAUACAGGCAAUAGAAAACUGAGAAAAAUAUUUGAGGGUUUUGCCAAACAUAUACCACAGCAAAGCUCUCUCUUUCCCUCCCAAUCAGCCUCUCUGCAUCCAGGAUUUGUGCCUUAUGGGCCAGCAAAGGAAGAAAUAUAAAAACCCUAUUAAAUCCACAGCGCAUCCACACUAAUUAUAUCUUUUCAGUUAUUUUUACAUUUUGCUGAUGGGCUGUAUCUGUGUGAGCAGCUUUAUAAGGAUGAAUGCAAAAGGAAACCUGUGUGUGUGUAUGCUCAGAGCAGCUGUGCUGAGAAAGUCAUUAAUGUUGUGGCAGUGGUUUGGGGGGUGGGGGGAACAGCAUCCCCUCAAAAUGCAGCAUCUGCAGCCCUUUUUUUAUAAUUUAGCAACGUGAAUGUAGCAAAUGCAAACUGACCUUUUCCAGGAUGGGUGCAGAGACAUUAGGUCUACACAAUGAGUAUGAUGCCAGCAGUUUUAUCUGUGGCAUUUUGUGGGGAUAGUUUAAUAUUUGGAUGGUCCAACAAUAUUUCUAUUUUCUUGGCAGUUUUGAUGAAUUGCUUUGCUCAAAAAAACAAGUCAAAUGUUGCCUGGGAAGAUGCUUGAGAAAGGAAAAUAUUUGUUUCUUCAGCCAUAUAUUGUGUAUUAAAAUGUUUUUGAAGUCA